rnacentral:rRNA from 1 species
UAGGGAAUAUUAGAAAUGGACGAAAGUCUGAUCUAGCUACACCGCGUGUGCGAAGAAGGCCUUCGGGUUGUAAAGCACUUUUUGGAAGGAUUAGGAAGGAAUGUACUUCCAGAAUAAGUCUCGGCUAACUACGUGCCAGCAGCCGCGGUAACACGUAGGAGGCAAACGUUAUCCGGAUUUACUGGGCGUAAAGCGCGUGUAGGUGGUUUGGUAAGUAGAGCGUGAAAGCUCCUGGCUCAACUGGGAGAGGUCGUUCUAAACUGCCGGACUAGAGGAUGGUAGAGGGAGGUGGAAUUCCGGGUGUAGCGGUGGAAUGCGCAGAUAUCCGGAGGAACACCAGUGGCGAAAGCGGGUCGCUGGGCCGGAACUGACGCUGAUGAGCGAAAGCAGGGGGAGCAAACA